rnacentral:rRNA from 1 species
UACGUAGGGGGCAAGCGUUGUCCGGAAUCAUUGGGCGUAAAGCGCGCGUAGGCGGCCCGGUAAGUCCGCUGUGAAAGUCCAGGGCUCAACCCUGGAAAGCCGGUGGAUACUGCCGGGCUAGAGUCCGGAAGAGGCGAGUGGAAUUCUUGGUGUAGCGGUGGAAUGCGCAGAUAUCAGGAGGAACACCAAUAGCGAAGGCAGCUCGCUGGGACGGUACUGACGCUGAGGUGCGAAAGCGUGGGGAGCAAACAGG